rnacentral:sRNA from 1 species
GCAUAUGCAAAUUCAGGUGCUGGGAUUGUCACCCCGAUGAAUAAACCGCGCCAAUAGACACGCCGCGAGCGUGUUUUUU